GUGCAAUUUUAUAAGAGAGCACAAGCUGUGCUGCAGCAGAUUGCAAACAAUUCCUGUAAUGCCUGGGUUUGACCUCCUGUAACUUUGUCUCCCAACUAUAUGGAAACCAUAUGCAGCCGUUAGUCUUUCUAAAGAUUAACUUCUUGAAGUGACCAGGCCAUGACUCAUGACCCAACCCCACCCCUCAGUCUGCUGUGACUCAUCGAAGAAGCCAGAUAAACUGAACGCUGAACGACAGCAAUGGGAGAGGAGACUGUCUCUCCCUUGCUGGCUUGAAGAAGCAAGCUGCCAUGUCAUAAGCUUUCAUGUGGAGAGGACUACGCAGCAACCAGCACAGGGCAGCCUCUAGCCAACAGCCAGCAAGAGACUAAGGCUCAGUCUGCUACCUACAAGGAACCGAACACUGCCAACAAUCACAUGGACUUGGAAGCAGAUCUUUUCUUAGUUGAG
rnacentral:lncRNA from 1 species